AAAAAAAAUAAAAGAUAUCGAUUAUUGACGUAGAUCAUUUUGUUCUGCUUUGAACUUAUAUUCGCUUCUAAAAUUACACUUUAUAAGUACUGGAAUUAACAGACUAAAGAGAUGACAAGACUGAAAUCUCUAAUCCUGUUGUUUCUAAUCUCAAGUCAGUCUUGUGUGGUGGACGCAUAUUUGUACGAAGCUCUUGGGUGCUUGGGAGGUGUCGUCUUUAUAGCUCUCUUGGGACAACGCUCCCUGAACUUUAUAGGCUUUACAGCAGUUGGAAUCACUGCAGGAUCCUUUGCAGCCUGGUUGAUGUCGUGGGGCUUGCCAGUGGCUACACUACAAUCUGCCGGAGCGGCUGGAGUAUCGUACGGAGCUUAUGGGGUAUGGGGGCUCCUAGGCUCAAUAGUCGCUCACUAUCUCGGAUGGGAGGAUAAAAAAGAUUGAUUCGUCAGUGUUGUUUGUGUGCAUGUUUUUCUGGAUUUUCAAAAAUAAAUAAAUAUACAAAAACGAAUAAAAAUAAAUACAUCUA